rnacentral:ncRNA from 1 species
CAUGGACCCGGAGGCCGCUCCGGGUGGCUCUUCCGGCCGCCGAUCCGCCGGACAAA